rnacentral:misc_RNA from 1 species
GAAAAUCAUCACAUGCUUUUGCAAAGCAAUACACAGACCAAUUUAUGGAAAGAAAGAAGGAUCAAUUUAUCAACAGUCAACACUACCAUUUGGGCAGCAAUCUCUUUAUAAAAAUCAAAGGCAUAAAAAGGAUAGAAUUAAUAACACUGCCACAAUUCUUUGGUGACAUAUCUAAUCUGUGAUCAUCAUGGCCACUCAUCAAAAUAUUGCAAUCAGCCACAGCAAUCAGACUUGCAAGCCAAAAAACAAGUCCUCUUUUAGCAAUGUGAGCAUAGCUUUUAGAGUCUGCUACUUCUCAUCAUGUCA